UACGUAGGCAGCAAGCGUUGUUCGGAAUUACUGGGCGUAAAGGGUGCGUAGGUGGCUCUAUAAGUAUGGUGUGAAAUCUCCCGGCUUAACUGGGAGGGUGCGCCGUAGACUGUGGGGCUAGAGUGUGGGAGAGGAAAGUGGAAUUCCUGGUGUAGCGGUGAAAUGCGUAGAUAUCAGGAGGAACACCGGUGGUGUAAACGGCUUUCUGGACCAUAACUGACACUGAGGCACGAAAGCGUGGGUAGCAAACAGG
rnacentral:rRNA from 1 species